CCUGACAUGUCAGACAUAGUUGCUGUUUCUCCACCACCUUUUGAUAGAACUAAGGUAGCUGUUCUUGGUCUGCACAGGAGUUUCUUUCCUUUUCUUUUUCCUCCCCUUCUGUAAGCUAUAGCACAUGAAGGUUCAAUUAGAGAACACAGUUACAAUCCAAAAAUGUGUCUUACUUGCCUCUUUGACAUCAUGAAUCCUAAGAAACCAAGACUUGUCUUGACACGUUAGCUGAAACUGUGACAAGGUUCCUGUGUGUUUGGUGGAAAUGUACCUGUUAGUUCAUUCAUCCUAACAGAUAAUAAGCUCACAUGGCUCACAGGGUUAGUAGAAUUCAAGGUUUUACUUUUGAGGUGGGAAAAAGCAAACCAUAGGUUCACAAAUGGAAGUCUUGAAGGUGUUCCACAGUCUGGCACUUUUGCAGUCAAGGGCAUAUCGCUUCAUGAUAGCGAUUCAGUUGGUAAAGUUUAUAAACUUGCCCCUUUCUAGCUAUCCUGUUAGGAAUUCUGGUUUUUUGAUACCCUUUUCUUGUCUGCAAACCAGAAUUUGAUUUUUUUGGUCUUGCAUUUCAAAAAACUUUGAAUCUGUUUAGUAGAUUCCAUACCCGUGCAUUUCAGUGUUUUAUAUGUACUCCUUAAGUUAAAUAGUUGAAAGCCUUUAAAUAGUUGAGCUUUUUAAUGUUGACACUUUAUUUUGUACCUAUUUAUAUAUGUAUGUAUAUCUUAGAAAAGCACUUUGUUAUAAAAUUGCAUUUUAUAUGAUUCCUGCCAUUUGCUGCUAAACCUGGGCUGGUCAGAGCGCCGCAGCGAUACUUGAUCUAGUCAAACCUGGCAGUGAAAUGUAGAGUGCAAGUUAAUCCUCCUGCUGUUGGAGAUGACAUAGGCAAGCUGUGCAGCUUUACAUUUUCACCAGGGGACUCUGUGGCAUUUAAAACCGUCUAGAAAUGGCUGUACUUUUAAUGCCAGUAAUGAACUGCUUCCUCUAUUGUCUUUAAAAUACCUGUACCUAGUGUGUCACGACAGUUCUCACAAGCAUGUAAAAACCCAGCACUUGUACAUGUUGUGUUUUGUAAAAUCGUGGCAUGUGUUUUUGGGUGGAAAUCAUUAGAGUGAGAGCUGUCUAAAGGUUGUCUGUGUUCAUACAUGGUAUACAGAUAGCUCAUGAAGUCCAGAACCUUCCCUCAAGUGAAGGCAUUGUGAAUUCUCCUCAGAUAACCCACUGUUCCAAAAGCAACCAAAACUGACUAUAGUACUACUACAGUAAAAAAUAAUAAUGAACCUUCUGCUUCCUGGUUUCAGAUACACUGGAUUCUUGUAGUCUGUGCCCACAUGAGAGCAUGCUGCUGGGCUGCUCCUGUUAAGGUCAUGUGUGAGUUUUUCAAGUCAGUGUGGUUGCUUGCUGUGCUGUACCACGUAUGGUUCUUGUCCUUUCCACGUCCUUCAUUCGAGAUUCGGGUGUGGCUUAAUCUUGUGCCUUACUUGUACACUUAAAUGAGACAUCUUCAUUCCUUCCCAAUUCCCAAACCUUAACUUUGUCCUUCUUGUAAGAGAAUCAGAACUAUUCCAGAAGCAUCAUGAAGGAUUUCAGAUGGGUGUGGUUUCAUAGUUCCCUCUCUCUGUAUUGUUUUAUACUUCUAUGAGAGACCAGUUUUGAAUGACCUUUGAGUAAUCUUUGCUACAUCCCUUCUCUCUGGCUUUUGUGAGGUUGUCCUGCAUCUCUAUGAUGCUUGGCUUCAUUCGCACCUUAGCGAGAGUCUGCAUUUACAGACAGGUGUGUUCACUUCAUCUGCUUGAAAGUGAUUAUUUUGUUUUCCAGAACUUUUUAGGAGAAGAAUACCCAUUUUGUUUGUUUUUUUACAACCGAUGACAAGUCUCUUUAAAAGAAACUGAAGUACAGUACUUUUGAAAUACAAUGCUAUUGGUAUGAAUUUCUCUUUUAUAUAUAAUAUUCAUACAAUUAUCUGAUGUUUGCCUUCAUUAAUAAAGCUGUUAGUUUAUUCACCAAAAUGUCAAGAAUGGAUGUGCUUUUUCUUUAUUCCAUACAUUUAAACAAUAUUUUAGCUGCUAAGAUUUAGUUAACUUCCUAAGAAAUGAAUUCAAGUUGCCUUCAGCAAGAAUUAACAAAACUCAUGUCCCCUUUCUUUAUAUAGUCUUCCUAAAAUUCUGUUUAACUACUUUCUAGUUAAUUAUGUGACAGAAUGUUAGCAUCUCUCUAAAUCUUGAAACUUGAAUUUUGAGAAUGCAUUGAAUUUCAGUGUUAAUGGAAAAGGUCUCAACUAUGUUUGUAGUGGAGUCUUUUGUGGAAUACCAUUUCCCAUGGAACUGCGACCACUUGCACAACUUUGCACAGAACUGCAGUCUUGUUCUUCCCUGGAUCGUGACAAAUGAGUCUCACACAGUGCCGUAAUACUUGUGGAUUCUACCGUGAUCUUUGUCAUCUUAAAUAAGGGC
rnacentral:lncRNA from 1 species